UGGGUAACCUGCCUCAUGGAAAGGGAUAGCCCCGGGGAAACUGGGAAUAAAACCUUAUAGAUACAUUUUCCGCAUGGGAGAAGUAAGAAAACUCCGGUGCCAUGAGAUGGGCCCGCGUUCCAUUAGCUAGUUGGUGAGAUAACAGCCCACCAAGGCGACGAUGGAUAACCGGUCUGAGAGGGCGAACGGUCACACUGGAACUGAGACACGGUCCAGACUCCUACGGGAGGCAG
rnacentral:rRNA from 1 species